rnacentral:rRNA from 1 species
CCUACGGGUGGCUGCAGUGGGGAAUAUUGCACAAUGGGCGCAAGCCUGAUGCAGCCAUGCCGCGUGUGUGAAGAAGGCCUUCGGGUUGUAAAGCACUUUCAGCGGGGAGGAAGGCGGUGAGGUUAAUAACCUCAUCGAUUGACGUUACCCGCAGAAGAAGCACCGGCUAACUCCGUGCCAGCAGCCGCGGUAAUACGGAGGGUGCAAGCGUUAAUCGGAAUUACUGGGCGUAAAGCGCACGCAGGCGGUCUGUCAAGUCGGAUGUGAAAUCCCCGGGCUCAACCUGGGAACUGCAUUCGAAACUGGCAGGCUAGAGUCUUGUAGAGGGGGGUAGAAUUCCAGGUGUAGCGGUGAAAUGCGUAGAGAUCAGGAGGAAUACCGGUGGCGAAGGCGGCCCCCUGGACAAAGACUGACGCUCAGGUGCGAAAGCGUGGGGAGCAAACAGGAUUAGAUACCCGUGUAGUC